rnacentral:rRNA from 1 species
AGAGCGAACGCUGGCGGCAGGCCUAAUACAUGCAAGUCGAACGGAUCCUUCGGGAUUAGUGGCGGACGGGUGAGUAACACGUGGGAACGUGCCCUUUGGUUCGGAACAACUCAGGGAAACUUGAGCUAAUACCGAAUGUGCCCUUCGGGGGAAAGAUUUAUCGCCAUUGGAGCGGCCCGCGUCUGAUUAGCUAGUUGGUGGGGUAAAGGCCCACCAAGGCGACGAUCAGUAGCUGGUCUGAGAGGAUGAUCAGCCACACUGGGACUGAGACACGGCCCAGACUCCUACGGGAGGCAGCAGUAGGGAAUCUUGCGCAAUGGGCGAAAGCCUGACGCAGCCAUGCCGCGUGAAUGAUGAAGGUCUUAGGAUUGUAAAAUUCUUUCAGCGGGGACGAUAAUGACGGUACCGCAGAAGAAGCCCCGGCUAACUUCGUGCCAGCAACCGC